rnacentral:rRNA from 1 species
UACGAAGGGGGCUAGCGUUGCUCGGAAUCACUGGGCGUAAAGGGCGCGUAGGCGGCCGAUUAAGUCGGGGGUGAAAGCCUGUGGCUCAACCACAGAAUUGCCUUCGAUACUGGUUGGCUUGAGACCGGAAGAGGACAGCGGAACUGCGAGUGUAGAGGUGAAAUUCGUAGAUAUUCGCAAGAACACCAGUGGCGAAGGCGACUGUCUGGUCCGGUUCUGACGCUGAGGCGCGAAAGCGUGGGGAGCAAACAGG